rfam:Gasterosteus aculeatus cont1.009399, whole genome shotgun sequence.
UCCCUGAUGGUCUACUAGCUAGGAUUUGGCGCUUUCACCGCCGCGGCCCAGGUUCAACUCCCGGUCAGGGAA